rnacentral:rRNA from 1 species
AAUGAACGCUGGCGGCAUGCCUUACACAUGCAAGUCGAACGGCAGCAUGACCUAGCUUGCUAGGUUGAUGGCGAGUGGCGAACGGGUGAGUAAUGCAUCGGAACGUGCCUUUUAGUGGGGGAUAACGUAGCGAAAGUUACGCUAAUACCGCAUAUUCUCUGAGGAGGAAAGCAGGGGAGCUUCGGACCUUGCGCUAGAAGAGCGGCCGAUGUCGGAUUAGCUAGUUGGUGAGGUAAAGGCUCACCAAGGCAACGAUCCGUAGCGGGUCUGAGAGGAUGAUCCGCCACACUGGGACUGAGACAAGGCCCAGACUCCUACGGGAGGCAGCAGUGGGGAAUUUUGGACAAUGGGCGCAAGCCUGAUCCAGCCAUGCCGCGUGAGUGAAGAAGGCCUUCGGGUUGUAAAGCUCUUUCGGCUGGGAAGAAAUCGCACCCUCUAAUACAGGGUGUGGAUGACGGUACCAGCAUAAGAAGCACCGGCUAACUACGUG